rnacentral:lncRNA from 1 species
GGAUCAUGUUUUACCUACAUGUACUGAAUAACAUUAACGGUACCAAUUUUCCUGCACCAGAUGCGCAUUUCGAAGUUCUGGCUAUUGGGCUGGUGAUACAGCCCACCAGCAUGCAUGAAUUGUUGGAAAUAUAGUCACCAAAACAUGGUUUUAAAGACAAUCAAAAAGCAGAGGCAUCGACCCAGUGGUAGUAAUAACAUUAACGGUACCAAUUUUCCUGCACCAGAUGCGCAUUUCGACAAUACAUGUCUCUUCAGUGAUGCUCAUGGCCA